rnacentral:rRNA from 1 species
CCCACUGCUAUCGGGAUGGGACUAAGACAUGCUAGUCGUGUGUCUCCAAGCCAUGGUGGAGACGCGGCACACAGCUCAGUAACACGUGGCUAACCUGCCCUUGGGACAGGGACAACCCCGGGAAACUGGGGCUAAUCCCUGAUAGGUGAGGAUUCCUGGAAUGGGCCCUUGCUGAAAGGGCGUCUAGACCAUGCUUCUAGGUGCUGCCCAAGGAUGGAGCCGCGGCCGAUCAGGUUGUUGGUGAGGUAACGGCUCACCAAGCCUUUAACCGGUACGGGCCGUGAGAGCGGGAGCCCGGAGAUGGGUACUGAGACAAGGACCCAGGCCCUACGGGGCGCAGCAGUCGCGAAAACUCCGCAAUACGCGAAAGCGUGACGGGGCUAUCCCGAGUGCCGUCCGCUGAGGAUGGCUUUUCCCCAGUGUAUAAAGCUGGGGGAAUAAGGAGAGGGCAAGCCUGGUGUCAGCCGCCGCGGUAAUACCAGCUCUCCGAGUGGUGGGGAUGCUUAUUGGGCCUAAAGCAUUCGUAGCCGGUUGGGCAAGUCCUCCGUUAAAUCCAGCGAUUCAAUCGUUGGACUGCAGGGGAUACUGUCCGGCUAGGGGGCGGAAGAGGCCGACGGUAUUCUCGGAGUAGGGGUGAAAUCCUAUAAUCCCGGGAGGACCACCAGUGGCGAAGGCUGUCGGCUAGAACGCGCCCGACGGUGAGGGAUGAAAGCUGGGGGAGCGAACCGGAUUAGAUACCCGGGUAGUCCCAGCUGUAAACGAUGCAGGCUAGGUGUUGGCGCGGCUACGUGCCGCUCCAGUGCCGCAAGGAAGCCGUUAAGCCUGCCGCCUGGGAAGUACGGCCGCAAGGCUGAAACUUAA